GGAGGGGUGGCCGAGUGGCUGAAGGCGCACGCUUGGAAAGCGUGUAUACGGGAAACUGUAUCGAGGGUUCGAAUCCCUCUCCCUCCGCCA
rnacentral:tRNA from 1 species